rnacentral:rRNA from 1 species
CACGUAGGGGGCAAGCGUUGUCCGGAAUCAUUGGGCGUAAAGAGCUCGUAGGCGGCUCAGUAAGUCGGGUGUGAAACCUCCAGGCUCAACCUGGAGACGCCACCCGAUACUGCUGUGGCUAGAGUCCAGUAGGGGAGUGUGGAAUUCCCGGUGUGAGCGGUGAAAUGCGCAGAUAUCGGGAGGAACACCAGCGGCGAAGGCAGCUCGCUGGGACGUGACUGACGCUGGAGACGCGAAAGCGUGGGGAGCAAACAGG